rnacentral:rRNA from 1 species
CAAGAGCGUAUGUAAAAGUUGGUGCAGUUAAAAAGCUCGUAGUUGAACCUUGGGUUUGGUUGGCCGGUCCGCUUUUUUGCGAGUACUGGAUUCAACCGAGCCUUUCCUUCUGGCUAACCAGUCGUUUCGGCGGCUGGCGAACCAGGAUUUUUACUUUGAGAAAAUUAGAGUGUUCAAAGCAGGCAUUAGCUUGAAUAUAUUAGCAUGGAAUAAUAGAAUAGGACGUUAUGGUUCUAUUUUGUUGGUUUCUAGGACCAUCGUAAUGAUUAAUAGGGACGGUCGGGGGCAUCAGUAUUCAGUUGUCAGAGGUGAAAUUCUUGGAUUUACUGAAGACUAACUACUGCGAAAGCAUUUGCCAAGGACGUUUUCAUUAA